rnacentral:lncRNA from 1 species
ACACUUUGUGGGUUCUAUUUAGAUGAUCAGUCAACACAAGGGAAAGACUUGAGUUACUUCCAACAGGUUCAAAUGGGGUCUAUUCAUCAGUCAAAACGUUAAUCUUGAAGGAGCAAAAGUUUGUUCAUGAGUUGUCAUGCUCGCUAGGCAAGCAGAAUGGGUCACCUAGCGAGUCCCAAGAAAAGCCACCAGAAUCACCUACGCUCAGAGGAGUUUCUUGAACUGUCAUACUCGCUAGGCGAAGCCCACGUGUUUUAAAAAAUAUAAAAUAAUAAUAAUAAUAAUAAAUAAAUAAAUAAAUAAAAUAUAACAGGAAAUUUUGGACUUGGGCCUCUCUCAUAUGAGCCCACAGGUCCACAAAGAUCAUGUUAUAAAUUCAGAGUUUCAGUGAAACAAAAGGCCAU